GGAGGCCUACGGGACGCAGCAGUGAGGAAUAUUGGUCAAUGGGCGGGAGCCUGAACCAGCCAAGUCGCGUGAGGGAAGACGGUCCUAUGGAUUGUAAACCUCUUUAGGCGGGGAGCAAUGCCGGGCACGCGUGCCCGGAGGGAGAGUACCCGCAGAAUAAGCAUCGGCUAACUCCGUGCCAGCAGCCGCGGUAAUACGGAGGAUGCGAGCGUUAUCCGGAUUUAUUGGGGGUAAAGGGAACGCAGGCGGUCUUUUAAGUCUGAUGUGAAAGCCUUCGGCUUAACCGGAGGAGUGC
rnacentral:rRNA from 1 species